GAACUACUGAGGAGUCCCAUAAUAGGACGAAACGGCUGUACAGUGC
rnacentral:hammerhead_ribozyme from 1 species